AGGUGCAGGAGAAGAAAGUGGAGGCCUCCAUGGUGUGUGGAAAAAAGCAUAAACCAAGAGUGAGCAGAGGAAGCCUGGAUGAGUGAAGUGGAGCAGGAGGUGCUGGAGAAGAAAGAGGAAGCAUCCAUGGUGUGUUGAAGGAAGCAGGAAGCAAGAGCAAGCAGAGGAUGUGAGGAAGCCUGGAUGACUGAAGUGGAGGCUCUUAAGCCAGGAGAAUGCAGGCAGCUUCGACAGAGCUGC